CCUACGGGUGGCAGCAGUGGGGAAUAUGGGGCAAUGGGCGCAAGCCUGACCCAGCAACGCCGCGGGAAGGAAGAAGGCUGUCGGGUUGUAAACUUCUUUUCUGAGGGACGAAGAAAGUGACGGUACCGCAGGAAUAAGCCACGGCUAACUACGGGCCAGCAGCCGCGGUAAGACGUAGGUGGCAAGCGUUAUCCGGAUUUAGGGGGGGUAAAGGGCGUGUAGGCGGGAAAGCAAGUCAGAUGUGAAAACUCAGGGCUCCACCCUGAGCCUGCAUUGGAAACGGUUUUUCUUGAGUGCUGGUGAGGCCAUCGGUCUUCCGUGUGUAGCGGUGAACUGCG
rnacentral:rRNA from 1 species